UACGGAAGGCAGCAGUGGGGAAUAUUGCACAAUGGGCGCAAGCCUGAUGCAGCCAUGCCGCGUGUAUGAAGAAGGCCUUCGGGUUGUAAAGUACUUUCAGUCGUGAGGAAGGUGUUAAGGUUAAUAACCUUAGCAAUUGACGUUAGCGACAGAAGAAGCACCGGCUAACUCCGUGCCAGCAGCCGCGGUAAUACGGAGGGUGCGAGCGUUAAUCGGAAUUACUGGGCGUAAAGGGCACGCAGGCGGUUAAUUAAGUUGGAUGUGAAUCCCCGGGCUUAACCUGGGAAUGGCAUUCAAGACUGGUUAGCUAGAGUCUUGUAGAGGGGGUAGAAUUCCAUGUGUAGCGGUGAAAUGCGUAGAGAUGUGGAGGAAUACCGGUGGCGAAGGCGGCCCCUGGACAAAGACUGACGCUCAUGUGCGAAAGCGUGGGGAGCAAACAGGGAUUAGAUACC
rnacentral:rRNA from 1 species